GACGUAGGUGGCGAACGUUAUCCGGAAUCAUUGGGCGUAAAGGGUGCGUAGGUGGCUUGAUAAGUUAUUAGUGGGAAAUCGAGGCUCAACCUCGUGGAAGCUAGUAAUACUGUUUUGCUUGAGUACAGAAGAGGUUAACGGAACUCCAUGUGGAGCGGUAAAAUGCGUAGAUAUAUGGAAGAACACCAAUAACGGCGAAGGCAGUUAACUAGUCUGUUACUGACAUUGAGGCACGAAAGCGUGGGGAGCAAAACGG
rnacentral:rRNA from 1 species